AAGUCGUAACAAGGUUUCCGUAGGUGAACCUGCGGAAGGAUCAUUACUGAGUUAGGGUCCUCUGGGCCCGACCUCCAACCCUUUGUUAAAACACUUUGUUGCUUUGGCAGGCCCGUCUCUCGGGACCGCUGGGGGCUUUUCUGCCUCUGGUCAGUGCUUGCCAAUAGCCAAUAUUAAAUUCUUCUUUAACGAUGAAGUCUGAUAAUAUAAUUAUAAAUAUAAUUAAAACUUUCAACAACGGAUCUCUUGGUUCUG
rnacentral:misc_RNA from 1 species